rnacentral:rRNA from 1 species
GUACACUCCUACGGGAGGCAGCAGUGGGGAAUUUUGGACAAUGGGCGAAAGCCUGAUCCAGCAAUGCCGCGUGAGUGAAGAAGGCCUUCGGGUUGUAAAGCUCUUUUGUCAGGGAAGAAACGGUGAGAGCUAAUAUCUCUUGCUAAUGACGGUACCUGAAGAAUAAGCACCGGCUAACUACGUGCCAGCAGCCGCGGUAAUACGUAGGGUGCAAGCGUUAAUCGGAAUUACUGGGCGUAAAGCGUGCGCAGGCGGUUUUGUAAGUCUGAUGUGGAAUCCCCGGGCUCAACCUGGGAAUUGCAUUGGAGACUGCAAGGCUAGAAUCUGGCAGAGGGGGGUAGAAUUCCACGUGUAGCAGUGAAAUGCGUAGAUAUGUGGAGGAACACCGAUGGCGAAGGCAGCCCCCUGGGUCAAGAUUGACGCUCAUGCACGAAAGCGUGGGGAGCAAACAGGAUUAGAUACCCGGGUAGUCCC